GCCUUCGUGGUUUAACGGUAGCACAUUCGACACGUAUUCGAAAGGUCCAGGUUCGAGUCCCAGCGAAGUCA
rnacentral:tRNA from 1 species